rnacentral:rRNA from 1 species
CCUACGGGAGGCAGCAGUGGGGAAUAUUGGGCAAUGGGCGCAAGCCUGACCCAGCAACGCCGCGUGAAGGAAGAAGGCUUUCGGGUUGUAAACUUCUUUUCUCAGGGACGAAGCAAGUGACGGUACCUGAGGAAUAAGCCACGGCUAACUACGUGCCAGCAGCCGCGGUAAUACGUAGGUGGCAAGCGUUAUCCGGAUUUACUGGGUGUAAAGGGCGUGUAGGCGGGAAAGCAAGUCAGAUGUGAAAACCAUGGGCUCAACCUGUGGCCUGCAUUUGAAACUGUUUUUCUUGAGUACUGGGGAGGCAGACGGAAUUCGUAGUGUAGCGGUGAAAUGCGUAGAUAUUAGGAGGAACACCAGUGGCGAAGGCGGUCUGCUGGACAGCAACUGACGCUGAGGCGCGAAAGCGUGGGGAGCAAACAGGAUUAGAUACCCCAGUAGUC